rnacentral:rRNA from 1 species
UACGUAGGGUGCGAGCGUUGUCCGGAAUUAUUGGGCGUAAAGAGCUUGUAGGUGGCUCGUCGCGUCGGGAGUGAAAACCCGCGGCUUAACCGCGGGCCUGCUUUCGAUACGGGCGGGCUAGAGUUCGGCAGGGGAGACUGGAAUUCCUGGUGUAGCGGUGGAAUGCGCAGAUAUCAGGAGGAACACCGGUGGCGAAGGCGGGUCUCUGGGCCGAUACUGACGCUGAGGAGCGAAAGCGUGGGGAGCGAACAGG